AUACGUAGGGGGCGAGCGUUGUCCGGAAUGAUUGGGCGUAAAGGGCGCGUAGGCGGCCCGGUAAGUCUGGAGUGAAAGUCCUGCUUUUAAGGUGGGAAUUGCUUUGGAUACUGUCGGGCUUGAGUGCAGGAGAGGUAAGUGGAAUUCCCAGUGUAGCGGUGAAAUGCGUAGAGAUUGGGAGGAACACCAGUGGCGAAGGCGACUUACUGGACUGUAACUGACGCUGAGGCGCGAAAGUGUGGGGAGCAAACAGGAUUAGAUACCCUGGUAGUCCACACGGUAAACGAUGAAUGCCAGGUGUAGGGGGUAUCGACCCCUUCUGUGCCGCAGUUAACACAAUAAGCAUUCCGCCUGGGGAGUACGGCCGCAAGGUUGAAACUCAAAUGAAUUGACGGGG
rnacentral:rRNA from 1 species